rnacentral:rRNA from 1 species
GAGUGGCGCACGGGCUGCGUAACGCGUAUGCAACUUACCUUCAACUGGGAGAUAGCCCCUCGAAAGAGGGAUUAAUACCCCAUAGUAAUAUGAAGUGGCCUCACUUUAUGUUUAAAGCUCCGGCGGUUGAAGAUGGGCAUGCGUGACAUUAGCUAGUUGGUGAGGUAACGGCUCACCAAGGCUACGAUGUCUAGGGGUUCUGAGAGGAUGAUCCCCCACACUGGUACUGAGACACGGACCAGACUCCUACGGGAGACAGCAGUAAGGAAUAUUGGUCAAUGGACGCAAGUCUGAACCAGCCAUGCCGCGUGAAGGAUGACGGCCCUAUGGGUUGUAAACUUCUUUUGUACGGGAAUAAACCCAGGUACGUGUACCUGGCUGAAUGUACCGUAAGAAUAAGGAUCGGCUAACUCCGUGCCAGCAGCCGCGGUAAUACGGAGGAUCCAAGCGUUAUCCGGAUUCAUUGGGUUUAAAGGGUGCGUAGGCGGAUUUGUAAGUCAGUGGUGAAAGCCUACAGCUUAACUGUAGAACUGCCAUUGAUACUGCAAGUCUUGAGUACACUUGACGUGGGCGGAAUGUGUCAUGUAGCGGUGAAAUGCUUAGAUAUGACACAGAACACCGAUAGCGAAGGCAGCUCACGAAAUUGUAACUGACGCUGAGGCACGACAGCGUGGGGAUCAAACAGGAUUAGAUACCCUGGUAGUCCACGCCGUAAACUAUGAAUACUCGAUGUGUGCGAUAUACAGUACGCGUCUAAGCUAAAGCAUUA